rnacentral:lncRNA from 1 species
CUUGAGUUGGUAAAGGGGUGGAUGAUCAUAGUGCUUGAGUUUGGUAAAUAAGUGGAUGAUCAUUUCAAUGCUUAUCUUAUAACAGCUGGAAUAUUAUCGCUAUACACGGUAUUCAAUCAAAGCCUAAGAGUGUGAUCGAAUAGUAUCUAUAGAGUAAAUAAAUUAGAGUAAAUGUUUUUUUCAGCUGAGUUACUCUAUUUUCUACCAAUCAGAUAAAAUUGUCUUUCAGCU